UUGGCACACCGCAAUCCAUUAUCCCCAGAGAUGUGUCCCUGGAUGUCAAUCUCAGUCCAAAAAGGCUGAUUCUAAAAAUAACACAUCCCCUAAAAACCAUUCACAUUCAAGCGCAGCUUGAAGAAUUAAACAACCAACAUUCAGGCAGAAUCGAACUACUGAUAGACAACAUCCACCAUUAUUUUAUCAAGGGACUACUGGAGACAGUGAAUCUUGCUUCAGAGACGAGAGCCCACUUUCAUCUUGAUGCCAAAGUAGUAGCAGAUGGGCAUCCAUUCUCCCUCUCAGUCAACACCACACAUGCUCGCAACAGGAAGUUCAUAAUACAGGCCUUGCUUAAAAAUGUCUUCAAUAAGGACG